UAUUUUUCUAGAGUGCUAUCUUUUCUCCAACAACUUCUCUUUCUAUCUUCUCUCUCUUUGAUUGUUGCUUCUCUCUAAUUGUUCUUUCUUCUUCAAGUUUAAAAAAAAUUUAUCCAUUCAUAUAUCAUAUUUUUAUCUUUACGAAUUUUUAACACUUUUAUGAUUUAUUUUUUCGUUUUUCCAGGUUGUUGAUCUAUUGAUAGGUUCCAAAACAUCGAAAAAGCGUGACUUAUCUGAGCAUAAGGAGAGCUUCUUCUUCAACAACACUAAAGCUCUUCUCUCAAUCUGGGUUUUAGUUGUUGUUACUGAGUAGUGAUGAAGAGAAUGGAGAUGAGGAGAUUAAUUAUACCGAUGGGUUUUAGUUGUUGUUACUGAGUAGUGAUGAAGAGCAUGAUGUUUAAGAAAGUUGUUGUUAUUGUUAACUUUUAACUAAUGAAUUUUAAUACAAGAAAUUAAGGAUUAAUUA